rnacentral:rRNA from 1 species
GUCUACAGCCAUGCCACCCUGAAUGUGCCUGAUCUCAUCUGAUCUCAGAAACUAAGAAGAGUCGAGCCUGGUUAGUACUUGGAUGGGAGAUCACCUAGGAAAACCAGGUGCUGCAGGCG